rnacentral:lncRNA from 1 species
AGGAAGUGCAAGACUCUGACCCAACCCCCAUGCCUGCCAUCCCCAAACAUGGGCUCAAAACCCCUUCCCAGGGACGGCUGUGUCCACCCCUCAGCAGGAGGAGGAGACCCCACAGCACCGGGUGAGAGGAUUAAGUGAACCAGUCAUGCAUGGGUCGAGAGCCAGGUUUGGCAUAUUGUAGCUGCUCAGUGGACGUUAGCUGUUAUGAUUGGACCACAAUGUGCUUCCGUUUCAAUUCUAUGGGCAUUUUGGAGGUCCUGCUGGAUGCUAAGCACCGAAACCUCAACCCGGAAAAAGACCAGAACAACCUGAGCAACAACAGGACCAGCGAUGGCUCUCCCUGCUGGAGGAUUCCGGAAGCCACCUGGGUGGACCAAGCCCCCUCCGUGUUCUCUGUCAGCGCACUCCCCAGAGCAGCUAGGCCUGAUGUGCACAAGCAGACUAAUAGAGGCUUGAGGACAAAAA